rnacentral:tRNA from 1 species
GGAGCAAUAGUUCAGCGGUAGAAUGUCUGCCUUCCACCGAGAUUAGCAGACGGCCCGAGUUCAACUCUCGGUUGCUUCA